UACGGGGGGGGCAAGCGUUGUUCGGAAUUACUGGGCGUAAAGGGCUCUUAGGCGGCCAACUAAGUCGGAUGUGAAAUCCCCAGGCUUAACCUGGGAACUGCAUCCGAUACUGGAUGGCUUGAAUCCGGGAGAGGGAUGCAGAAUUCCAGGUGUAGCGGUGAAAUGCGUAGAUAUCUGGAGGAAUACCGGUGGCGAAGGCGGCAGCCUGGACCGGCAUUGACGCUGAUGAGCGAAAGCUAGGGGAGCAAACGGG
rnacentral:rRNA from 1 species